UACGUAGGUGACAAGCGUUGUCCGGAUUUACUGGGCGUAAAGAGCGCGCAGGCGGUCGUUCAAGUCGAGUGUGAAAGCCCCCGGCUCAACUGGGGAGGGUCAUUCGAUACUGAUCGACUCGAAGGCAGGAGAGGGAAGUGGAAUUCCCGGUGUAGUGGUGAAAUGCGUAGAUAUCAGGAGGAAUACCGGUGGUGUAGACGGCUCUCUGGACCGCCACUGACGCUGAGACACGAAAGCGUGGGUAGCAAACAGG
rnacentral:rRNA from 1 species